rnacentral:rRNA from 1 species
AACGAACGCUGGCGGCAGGCCUAAAACGUGCAAGUCGAACGCCCCGCAAGGGGAGUGGCGCACGGGUGAGUAACGCGUGGGAAUGUACCUCUAGGUGCGGAACAACGUCGGGAAACUGACGCUAAUACCGCAUAAUAUCUCCGGAUCAAAGAUUUAUCGCCUAGAGAUCAGCCCGCGUUAGAUUAGCUAGCUGGUGGGGU